UACGGAGGGUGCAAACGUUGCUCGGAAUCAUUGGGCGUAAAGCGCACGUAGGCGGCUUUGCAAGUUAGAGGUGAAAGCCCGGGGCUCAACUCCGGAAUUGCCUUUAAAACUGCAUCGCUAGAAUUGUGGAGAAGUAAGUGGAAUUCCGAGUGUAGAGGUGAAAUUCGUAGAUAUUCGGAAGAACACCAGUGGCGAAGGCGACUUACUGGACACAUAUUGACGCUGAGGUGCGAAAGCGUGGGGAGCAAACAGG
rnacentral:rRNA from 1 species